rnacentral:rRNA from 1 species
CGCGUGGGUAACCUGCCUCACACUGGGGGAUAACACUUAGAAAUAGGUGCUAAUACCGCAUGAGCGCACAGUCCUGCAUGGGACAGUGUGAAAAACUCCGGUGGUGUGAGAUGGACCCGCGUCUGAUUAGCCAGUUGGCGGGGUAACGGCCCACCAAAGCGACGAUCAGUAGCCGGCCUGAGAGGGUGAACGGCCACAUUGGGACUGAGACACGGCCCAAACUCCUACGGGAGGCAGCAGUGGGGAAUAUUGGACAAUGGGGGGAACCCUGAUCCAGCGACGCCGCGUGAGUGAAGAAGUAUUUCGGUAUGUAAAGCUCUAUCAGCAGGGAAGAAAGAAAUGACGGUACCUGACCAAGAAGCCCCGGCUAACUACGUG